rnacentral:rRNA from 1 species
AGAGGUCCCAAGCGUUGUUCGGAUUUACUGGGCGUAAAGGGUGCGUAGGUGGCGAGGUAAGUUCGAUGUGAAAUCUCCGAGCUCAACUCGGAAAUGGCAUUGAAUACUAUCCCGCUUGAGGGUCGGAGGGGAGACUGGAAUUCUCGGUGUAGCAGUGAAAUGCGUAGAUAUCGAGAGGAACACCAGUGGCGAAGGCGAGUCUCUGGACGACUCCUGACACUGAGGCACGAAAGCUGGGGGAGCAAACAGGAUUAGAUACCCUGGUAGUCCUAGCUGUAAACGGUGCACGUUUGCUGUAAGAGGAAUCGACCCCUUUUGUGGCGAAGCUAACGCGUUAAACGUGCCGCCUGGGGAGUACGGUCGCAAGAUUA